UCAAUGGCUUUUAUGAAAGCCACACCACUCUGAAAUAAAAACAUGC
rfam:Equus caballus chromosome 8, whole genome shotgun sequence.